UGGGGAAUAUUGGACAAUGGGCGAAAGCCUGAUCCAGCGACGCCGCGUGGGUGAUGAAGGCCUUCGGGUUGUAAAGCCCUGUGGGCAGGGAAGAAAACGUUGCAGUCAAAUAGGCUGCGACCUUGACGGUACCUGCUCAGAAAGCACCGGCUAACUCUGUGCCAGCAGCCGCGGUAAGACAGAGGGUGCAAACGUUGCUCGGAAUUACUGGGCGUAAAGCGCGUGUAGGCUGACCGGAAAGUCGGGCGUGAAAUCCCUGGGCUCAACCCAGGAACUGCACUCGAAACUCCCGGUCUUGAGUGGUGGAGAGGGAAGUGGAAUUCCUGGUGUAGAGGUGAAAUUCGUAGAUAUCAGGAGGAACACCAGUGGCGAAGGCGGCUUCCUGGACACCAACUGACGCUGAGACGCGAAAGCGUGGGGAGCAAACAGGAUUAGAUACCCUGGUAGUCCACGCUGUAAACGA
rnacentral:rRNA from 1 species